UACGUAGGGGGCAAGCGUUGUCCGGAUUUAUUGGGCGUAAAGAGCGUGUAGGCGGCCAUACAGGUCCGUUGUGAAAACUCGAGGCUCAACCUCGAGACGUCGAUGGAAACCGUAUGGCUAGAGUCCGGAAGAGGAGAGUGGAAUUCCUGGUGUAGCGGUGAAAUGCGCAGAUAUCAGGAGGAACACCAAUUGCGAAGGCAGCUCGCUGGGACGUUACUGACGCUGAGACGCGAAAGCGUGGGGAGCAAACAGG
rnacentral:rRNA from 1 species